rnacentral:rRNA from 1 species
GUGCACGCUAGCGGUAGGCCUAACCCAUGCCAGUCGAACGGCAGCACAGUAAGAGCUUGCUCUUACGGGUGGCGAGUGGCGGACGGGUGAGGAAUACAUCGGAAUCUACUUUUUCGUGGGGGAUAACGUAGGGAAACUUACGCUAAUACCGCAUACGACCUACGGGUGAAAGCAGGGGAUCUUCGGACCUUGCGCGAUUGAAUGAGCCGAUGUCGGAUUAGCUAGUUGGCGGGGUAAAGGCCCACCAAGGCGACGAUCCGUAGCUGGUCUGAGAGGAUGAUCAGCCACACUGGAACUGAGACACGGUCCAGACUCCUACGGGAGGCAGCAGUGGGGAAUAUUGGACAAAGGGCGCAAGCCUGAUCCAGCCAUACCGCGUGGGUGAAGAAGGCCUUCGGGUUGUAAAGCCCUUUUGUUGGGAAAGAAAAGCAGCAGGUUAAUACCCCGCUGUUCUGACGGUACCCAAAGAAUAAGCACCGGCUAACUUCGUG